UAGAUACCCUGGUAGUCCACGCAGUAAACGAUGAAUGUUAGUCGUCGGGAUGCAAGUCAUUUCGGUGAUGCAGUUAACACAUUAAACAUUCCGCCUGGGGAGUACGGUCGCAAGAUUAAAACUCAAAGGAAUAGACGGGGACCCGCACAAGUGGUGGAGCAUGUGGUUUAAUUCGAAGAUACGCGAAGAACCUUACCUAGCCUUGACAUUGGUAGAAUCUUCCAGAGAUGGAGGAGUGCCUUUCGGGGAACUUGAAAACAGGUGCUGCACGGCUGUCGUCAGCUCGUGUCGUGAGAUGUUGGGUUAAGUCCCGCAACGAGCGCAACCCUCGUCAUUAGUUACUAACAGUUCGGCUGAGGACUCUAAUGAGACUGCCUUCGUAAGGAGGAGGAAGGUGAGGACGACGUCAAGUCAUCAUGGCCCUUACGGCUAGGGCGACACACGUGCUACAAUGGUUAGGACAAUGAGAAGCGAUACCGCGAGGUGGAGCAAAUCUAUAAACCUAAUCUCAGUUCGGAUUGUAGUCUGCAACUCGACUACAUGAAGCUGGAAUCACUAGUAAUCGUAGAUCAGCCAUGCUACGGUGAAUACGUUCCCGGGUCUUGUACUCACCGCCCGUCACACCAUGGGAGUUGAUUUCACCCGAAGCGGGGAAGCUAAACUGGCUACCCUCCACGGUGGAAUUAGCGACUGGGGUGAAGUCGUAACAAGGUA
rnacentral:rRNA from 1 species